GAUCCUGGCUCAGGAUAAACGCUGGCGGCGCACAUAAGACAUGCAAGUCGAACGGAAGUCGUUGUAAUGAUAUAGACAUGGACUGAGAACUUGUUCAAAGAAAGUGAAAGUUGACUUACAACAAUGGCUUUAGUGGCGGACUGGUGAGUAACACGUAAGCAACCUGCCUAUCAGAGGGGAACAACAGUUAGAAAUGACUGCUAAUACCGCAUAUGCCUAAGUACCACAUGGU
rnacentral:rRNA from 1 species